rnacentral:rRNA from 1 species
AUGGAGCGCGGCAUCUUCGUCAGCUGCGCGGCGGGGAACGCGGGUCCGGACCCGGGCUCCGUCGGCAACGGGGCGCCUUGGAUGCUCACCGUCGCGGCCGGCACCAUGGACCACGCCAUACGCACCACCGUGAGGCUCGGAAACGGCGAGGAGUUCGACGGCGAGUCCCUGUUCCAGCUAGGCAACAACUCCGCCGCAAAGCCGCUUCCGCUUAUGUACCCCGCCGCCGACGGCUCCGACACAAGCCGCGAUUGCAGCGUGCUGCGCGGAGCCGAGGUGAGCGACAAGGUGGUGCUCUGCGAGAGCAGAGGCCUGAACGGCCGCAUCGAGGCUGGCCAGACCGUGUCCGCGUACGGCGGCGUGGGCAUGAUCGUGAUGAACAGAGCAGCCGAGGGGUACACCACCUUCGCUGACCCGCAUGUCCUCCCUGCCUCGCACCUGAGCUGCGAUGCCGGGACCAAGAUCGCGGCCUACAUCAACUCCACGGCCAACCCGACGGCGAGCAUCGCGUUCAAGGGCACAGUCAUGGGCGCGCUGCCGGCGCCGGCCGUUACUUUCUUCUCGUCCCGAGGUCCGAGCAAGGCCAGCCCGGGCAUCCUGAAGCCGGACAUCACGGGGCCCGGCAUGAACAUACUCGUGGCGUGGGCGCCGAGCGAGUCGCACACGGAGUUCUCCGACGGGGGCGUCGGCCUCUCUUUCUUCGUGGAGUCUGGCACGUCCAUGUCGACGCCGCACCUGAACGGCAUCGCCGCACUCAUCAAGAGCCUGCACCCGGACUGGUCACCGGCGGCGAUCAAAUCCUCCAUCAUGACGACGUCGGACGCAGUGGACCGCACCGGCGUGCCCCUCAAGGACGAGCAGUACCGCCUCGCCACCUUCUACGCCAUGGGCGCGGGCUACGUCAACCCCGCUCGCCUUUGA